UACGGAGGUCCCAAGCGUUGUUCGGAAUUACUGGGCGUAAAGGGAGCGCAGGCGGACAGCUUAGUCUAAAGUGGAAUCCCAGGGCUCAACCCUGGACGUGCUUUGGAUACUGGCUGUCUUGAGUUCGUGAGAGGAAAGUGGAAUUCAGGGUGUAGCGGUGAAAUGCUUAGAUAUCCUGAGGAACACCAGUGGCGAAAGCG
rnacentral:rRNA from 1 species